rnacentral:rRNA from 1 species
UUACCCGCUGRAUUUAAGCAUAUAAGUAGGCGGUGGAAAAUGAACCAAAUGGGAUUCCUUAAGUAAUUGCGAAUGAACAAGGAAAUGCUCAGCUUGAAAAAUGGGGCCUUUGGCUUUGAAUUGUAAUUUUGAAAUGUAUUGCCAAUGGAGGCGCAGGUGCAAGCCUAUUGAAAGAAAGCGUCAAUGAGGGUGAGAUUCCUUUUUGUCAUUUGCAGUCCUCCGUGCACGGUAUAUAUUUGACGAGUCACACUCCUCGGCAUUGGAAUGCAAAGUGGGUGGUAAAUUCCAUGUAAAGGUAAAUAUAUUAUUGAGACUGAUAGCAAACAAGUACCAUGAGGGAAAUAUGAAAAGGACUUUGAAAAGAGAAUUAAAAGAGUCUGCAUUUGCUGAACAGAAAGCAAACAGAAUUGAUUUUACUUGGUGAGAUUGUUGUGCUUACUCUAUCAUUUAUAUGGUUGAUGUGGGUGCGAUGGUUCUUACCUUGAAUGUCAGCUUCUAUUUCUGCAAAUCAUUACCCUUGCACAUGAAUGGUAAUUUGCCUGCGGGUAUUGGAAUGCAUGUGUUUGCAAUGAUUUGUGAUUUGACGCAUGUGUUUGGUGAAAUUUGUAUAUGCUCUUUUGUCGAAGGGGAAAGCUUACUUUUUUGAGCAUUGCAAGCCCUUACACAUCAGUGCUGGCAAAAUGUUUCUGCUUGACCCGUCUUGAAACACGGGACCAAGG